AGAUGAGAACAGCAGCACCAUCUGUUCACUCUGUGUUCUCUGUGCCCGGUGUCGUGUGAAACUUUCUAUCCAGUAUCUUGCCAAAUCCUUACAGCAAUCCUAUAAGGUUUUACUGCUUCCAAAGACCUGGCAGACUCCUGGUUUGUGAUGAUCAAGUCCCAGGUCAGAGCAGGGAGAAGCAGCCCGUGAGGCUGGUGAAAUGGUGCCCAGUGGAGGGGAAGGCCCUGGCUUGUGAUCUUGGGCAAGUCCCUCCUCAUACCCAGCUUCGGCUUCUCCUCUGUAAAAUGGACAUGAGCAACUUGUUAUUUCUUGG